AGAGAUAUAGCUCAGAGGCAGAGCACAUGCUUAGCAUGCACGAGGUCCUGGGUUCAAUCCCCAGUACCUCCA
rnacentral:tRNA from 1 species